AGCCAAGCAUCACGCCAUGAAGAGCAUGUGCAGAACAUUCGCCGGUUUCAUGAAUCCCUGCAUCUUCAGGGAGAGGCACCCUUGCCAUGUGAUGACAAACCGACCACAUCACCUUUGUCCUCCCAAACCUCCAUUCUGACUUCUCUCAGGAAGAAUCUGAGUGAGCUUGAUCAGAUUCAGAGGUACUUCAGCCAGAAGCUCACCAAGCCUUUCCUACCCCUCAGCCCUCAGACUCAAACGGCCAUCUCACAGCACCAGGAGAGCUGUAGGGACCAUCUUGGGCCAGGUGCCAGCAGCCUAGACCCUGGGAGCCAGUGUAUCCUGGAGAAAUCCAGUAACCUGGUGUUGCAAGUCAGCUCCUUAAUCACAGAUCUGCAGACUAUCACCAGGGAUUCGCAAGCAGCUUUGAGUUCUCACCGAGCCAGGAGUAGAAGCAACAAGGCCACCACCCUCCCAGAUGCUCAGGACACAGAAGCACUGCAAGAACGAUGCACAAUGCCAGAUGAGCCAUUGGCAAGAGCUCCAGAUAAAGGCACAGAUUCCCCACCACCCCCUCCUCUCGAAGAGACUUCAAAUGGAGGAAGAAUGCUCCAUGAGUCCCUGAGGCAUGCAGUACCCAUUACAAGGAUGCAGAGCAGUGAAGACACUGAGGCAGGCCCAGCCUACAGUGAUGAGGACUAUGAAGAAGACAUCAUUGAGCCCAGGACCUUAAAUGAGAUCACCACGGUGACAGACAAAACUAGCCCUUGGUCUAGUGUCAUAUCAGACACAAGUGAGGUCAUCAGCCCUCAGCCUGACAAGGUGCAGAGGGAAGGCCCC
rnacentral:sRNA from 1 species